rnacentral:misc_RNA from 1 species
AUUGUCAAACUCUCCACAAUAAUUCGGUGCAGAAAAUACAGUUACAAGUUGCCGAUUAGCAAAAAACUCGUACCCGUCCUCCACAACCUGGUGUGCACGGCAAAUAAGAUCCAGAUCAUGCUUCUCAAGAAAUUCUGUCACCUUGUCUGCACCAAAAGUGUAUGAAACUCCCCGAUCAUUCAUUCCCCAUCCCUGAACAUCUUUACUAGGAUCAGACCAAAGCAAAUCACAGAGCAAACCAGCAUCUGGCACAUCAGUUGGGCGCUGGAGACCUCUAAUUUGGUCUAAAUGGUUCAAAUCAGGAGAGAGGCCUCCAUGCAUACAUAGAAUCUUUUCAUCUAUUAAGGCAGCGACCGGAAGACAAUUGAAGCAAUCUGUGAAGAUUUUCCAUAAUCUCACAUUAAAUCUUCUCUUACAUUCAUCAUAAAAUCCGUAUAUGCGGUUUAUGGAAGCACAUUCAUGAUUUCCCCGAAGCAAGAAAAAGUUUUCUGGAUAUUUUAUCUUGUAUGCAAGUAGAAGACAUAUAGUCUCUAAGCUCUGCUUGCCACGAUCAACAUAAUCCCCUAAAAAUAAAUAAUUGGCUUCAGGAGGAAAACCUCCAUACUCAAACAGCCUUAGUAAAUCACUAUAUUGCCCAUGAAUGUC